rnacentral:lncRNA from 1 species
CUGGCUUUUCUGGUUCACAGGCGGCGGAAGUUCCGGGUGAACUUCCGCCCGAACUUCUGGGUGCUCUCUGUUAGUCCCGAAGGAAUAUGCGGAACUUCCGGUUAGUCGGAAGUUCCAGCUAUCCAGCAGAAGUUCCGGCCUAUCCCGACCAAUGCCUAACGGCUCGGGGCUUGGAUUGGGAGCCUCGAUUGAGUUGUGGAGUUUGCCCCAGUCAAGUUUGUAAGGGUUAGGCGUUCGCCUUCAAGGAAGCCAUUAGUGAAACUCACCUCAUCUUUGUGGUGUUGUGAGAGCUCAUCACACCUUUGUGGUGUGGUGAGUUGGAGAAUAGAGUGAGCCUUCGUGGCGUCUCUACCUUUGUGGUAGAGCACUCCUCCAAACAGAGACGUACACCGAUCCCAAUAGGUGGAACUCCGGUGAAAUCUUCGUCUCCACGUGUGGUAUCUUUUCCCCUUUAUAUUCUUGCUAUCUAUUGUUGCUUCGGCUAUUGCAUUUCAUAUUGAGGUUGCAUUCACUUUAGAGAAUCUAGUAAACCCUAGGAUUAAGUGUUUGUAUCUUUCAAGAAAAGAAAAAGAAAAAGAAAAAUUUGUUAGUCGUCUAUUCACCUCCCCCCCCUCUAAUCGACCAUACCGAUCUUUCAACAGGGCAACUACAAGAUGUAUCCUCUGACAGGGCAACUACAAGAUGCAUCAUCGACGAUGGCAUCAAUCGCGUCAUAGAUCUCUGACGGCAGCGACUAUAUCGACAUCAACAUCACGGUGAUGACCCUCCACACGAC